UACGAAGGGGGCUAGCGUUGCUCGGAAUCACUGGGCGUAAAGGGUGCGUAGGCGGGUCUUUAAGUCAGGGGUGAAAUCCUGGAGCUCAACUCCAGAACUGCCUUUGAUACUGAAGAUCUUGAGUUCGGGAGAGGUGAGUGGAACUGCGAGUGUAGAGGUGAAAUUCGUAGAUAUUCGCAAGAACAUCAGUGGCGAAAGCGACUUCCUGGACCAAUACUGACGCUCAUGUGCGAAAGCGUGGGGAGCAAACAGG
rnacentral:rRNA from 1 species